rfam:Haemonchus contortus, ISE/inbred ISE, WGS project CAVP01000000 data, contig: Hcontortus_contig_pathogens_Hcontortus_scaffold_4900
AGCAGCGUGGCGCAGUGGAAGCGUGCUGGGCCCAUAACGCAGAGGUCGGUGGAUCGUAACCACCCGCUGCUA